UAAAUGUGAUAUUUUAAAUUAUGUAUUUUCAUUUUUACAAAUACAACAAGUAAGUCAUGAAAAUCAAAAAAUACUUCUUUACUUAAUUUAUGACUUUGUUCAUUAUUGUUUGUAUAAUAGUUUUAGUGAUGAAAUUAAAAAAUAUUUUAAGGAAAGUAAAAAUAACGAUUUGAAACAAAAUGAACAUAUUACAACACAAGAUGUUACUAAUACAGCUAUAGAUAUCAAUAUAUUUAACAAUAUCUUGAAGUAUACAUUUUUGGAUGGAGGUGAGUACUGCUAUGUAUAUAAAAAUGCAUUAAAAGGUUUUAAUAAUAAUAUAAUGCAAAAAGAAAAUGGGGGUAAAAAAAGAAGAAGUGGUAGUGACAGUAGUAGAAAUGGGACACAUAAUAAUAUCAAUCACGAAACUGAAAAAUACAGGUGCUAUAAUAACAUAUUUUUACAUAAUAAAAUUAUUUAUUUGAAAUGCAUUAAAAAGGAAGAAUAUAAAAUAAAAUUAAGAAAAAAAAAAAAAAGUUAUAUGUACGGGCUUGAAACUGAAAGUCGCAUCGUUACUAGUUAUAGUGAUAGUUGUAGUAGCUGUAGCAAUAGUAACAGUUGUAAUGGUAAAAUACUUUCGUAUAAAAGUAAAAACGGCAGCAAAAAAAAAAUUGUGAGCAAAAUCAACGGCAACAAAAAUUGUACCAAUCUCAACAAGAGCAAGAACAAACGUAAUAGGAAAAAUAGCAUGCCCUCCGAAAUUAAUAACAUUAUUAAAAGCAUUAUUUGUUUUAUAUUAAACGAAAUGUUAUUUAUUAAAAAAGAAGAUAAAAGACACGAGAUAAUGACAAACUUAUUAAUUUUAUUUAUUAUGAAAGAAGAUAAAUAUUUAAAAAAAAAAAUCUUGGAGAAAAUAAAUUAUUACAUUGAAAAGAGCAAAGUGAAUAAAACAGACUAUAAUUAUAACGUUAAUAAAGGGAAUAAUAAUAUAAAUACGAAUGCACAUAUAUAUACAUAUAUUGAAUUAUAUUUAGAUAUUUUUAUGCAAGUGCCCCAUCUUACUAAAAAUAUUUUUAU
rnacentral:lncRNA from 1 species